AUUGAACGCUGGCGGCAGGCCUAACACAUGCAAGUCGAACGAGUGGCGGACGGGUGAGUAAUGUCUGGGAAACCGCCUGGUAGUGGGGGAUAACGUCCGGAAACGGGCGCUAAUACCGCAUACUACCAUAUGCCCCUAUGUCGGAUUAGCUAGUUUGUGGGGUAAAGGCCGACCAAGGCGACGAUCCCUAGCUGGUCUGAGAGGAUGACCAGCCAGACUGGAACGGAGACACGGUCCAGACGGCUACGGUAGGCAGCAGUGGGGAAUAUUGCACAAUGGGCGCAAGCCGGAUGCAGCCAUGCCGCGUGUAUGAAGAAGGCCUUCGGGUUGUAAAGUACUUUCAGCGGGGAGGCGUUACCCGCAGAAGAAGCACCGGCUAACGCCGUGCCAGCAGCCGCGGUAAGUC
rnacentral:rRNA from 1 species